CACGUAGGGUGCGAGCGUUGUCCGGAAUUAUUGGGCGUAAAGAGCUUGUAGGCGGUUUGUCGCGUCUGCUGUGAAAUUUCGGGGCUCAACCCCGAACUUGCAGUGGGUACGGGCAGACUAGAGUGCGGUAGGGGAGACUGGAAUUCCUAGUGUAGCGGUGAAAUGCGCAGAUAUCAGGAGGAACACCGGUGGCGAAGGCGGGUCUCUGGGCCGUAACUGACGCUGAGGAGCGAAAGCAUGGGGAGCGAACAGG
rnacentral:rRNA from 1 species